rnacentral:rRNA from 1 species
AUUGAACGCUGGCGGCAUGCCUUACACAUGCAAGUCGAACGGUAACAGGGAGCUUGCUCCGCUGACGAGUGGCGAACGGGUGAGUAAUGUAUCGGAACGUACCAUUCAGUGGGGGAUAACGUAGCGAAAGUUACGCUAAUACCGCAUAUUCUGUGAGCAGGAAAGCAGGGGAUCGCAAGACCUUGCGCUGAUUGAGCGGCCGAUAUCAGAUUAGCUAGUUGGUGAGGUAAAAGCUCACCAAGGCGACGAUCUGUAGCGGGUCUGAGAGGAUGAUCCGCCACACUGGAACUGAGACACGGUCCAGACUCCCACGGGAGGCAGCAGUGGGGAAUUUUGGACAAUGGGGGCAACCCUGAUCCAGCCAUGCCGCGUGAGUGAAGAAGGCCUUCGGGUUGUAAAGCUCUUUCAGCCGGGAAGAAAAUGCAUGGGUUAAUACCCUGUGCAGAUGACGGUACCGGAAUAAGAAGCACCGGCUAACUACGUG